rnacentral:rRNA from 1 species
UACGUAGGUCCCGAGCGUUGUCUGGAUUUAUUGGGCGUAAAGCGAGCGCAGGCGGUUUGAUAAGUCAGAAGUAAAAGGCUGUGGCUCAACCAUAGUACGCUUUUGAAACUGUCAAACUUGAGUGCAGAAGGGGGGAGUGGAAUUCCAUGUGUAGCGGUGAAAUGCGUAGAUAUAUGGAGGAACACCGGUGGCGAAAGCGGCUCUCUGGUCUGUAACUGACGCUGAGGCUCGAAAGCGUGGGGAGCGAACAGG